AUCCUAGGUUUUUCAGUGUCAGUCAACCCAGGCAAAUCAUUUUCGCCCUUCUUCACUAUAACCAAGUUCAAAACAGAAAGGUCAUGACUAACAAUACACCCACGAACAGAUUUUCUCCUGCGCUCUCCAUUGCGUCUUCCAUAUCCACGGAAGCAUGGGGUGCCUCUGUGCAGCAACAGACGGACACGACCAGAAGUUAGCACUCCCUGCUUCAUGGGAAAUCCUUGCUUGUCACAGCCUCCCAUGAUUUUAAAAACAUAGCCC
rnacentral:misc_RNA from 1 species